GGGGAAUAUUGGACAAUGGGGGGAACCCUGAUCCAGCCAUGCCGCGUGUGUGAAGAAGGUCUUCGGAUUGUAAAGCACUUUAAGUUGGGAGGAAGGGUUUGCGGUUAAUACCUGCGAAUUUUGACGUUACCAACAGAAUAAGCACCGGCUAACUUCGUGCCAGCAGCCGCGGUAAUACGAAGGGUGCGAGCGUUAAUCGGAAUUACUGGGCGUAAAGCGCGCGUAGGUGGUUUGUUAAGUUGGAAGUGAAAGCCCCGGGCUCAACCUGGGAAUUGCUUUCAAAACUGACAGGCUAGAGUACGGUAGAGGGUAGUGGAAUUUCCUGUGUAGCGGUGAAAUGCGUAGAUAUAGGAAGGAACAUCAGUGGCGAAGGCGACUACCUGGACUGAUACUGACACUGAGGUGCGAAAGCGUGGGGAGCAAAC
rnacentral:rRNA from 1 species